CUGUAUAGUACAGGAGAAUAUUGUACUUUUUACUCCAUUACAUAAAGUGACAGCAGCAGUCUGACUUUUCAAAUUAGGACUUGACGUUAAAAACAUACAUGAUAAACUUACAAAUGUUGUUUAAAAUGUAACCUUAAGGAUUCCAAACGCUUUGCCACGUGUUGUAUGCAGAUCCACCAAAGAGACAUCAUAUAGUAUCCUUCAAAUAACCAUUUGAUGCCCACAGAGGUCAAAAUAUCUAAUAGUUCACGCACAAAAAGUCCAGAAAAUACAAUACAAGCUUGUGUAAACAUAAAUUGUUGCUGAUGUACUUUUACUUAUAUAGGCAAGAUUUUGAAUGCAUGACUCAUAUUUUACAUUCUGGUAUAGUGUAGGGGCUUUUAAUAAAUUAAAGGAUCAGAUUUUGUCUUCCACCACUGGUUAAUCUUCAUAUAUACUUCAGGUGGCUGCUCUCUAAGGAACGAGAGAUGUUUGGUGAGUGCCAGUGUACGUUAUAUCAGGGGAAAAAAGAAAAAAGGAUCAUAACACACAGUGUAUUAAAAGAUUAAAAUCUUAUCCUGAUGGCAAGGAUCCAGACACACUGAGUCCCCGACACAUUCGACUGGCUUUCCUGAGGAUCUGGGCUCCUAAACAUUUUCCAUUUUAAAAUUCCAGACUUCAUUCCCCAGGUGGUGCAGACAUAUCGCUCAUCGGCCUCUGUUUAUAACAGAACUUUACAGAUUAUGUAAUAUUACAUACAGUUUAUUCAGGGCUUUUUUUCUUUUUUUGUGGUGUUGCCUUUUCAUGUUCAUAAUGAGCAGAAUCUGAUUGUUUCUGUACCAGAGCCCACCUACAGAUCAGUUUAUCAACCCUUUUUGUUUGACAGGAGAUGGGAUUCAGGGACAUGCCUUUCUCUGGAAACUAACAGUCCAGACUGCAGGAAUGUUGGUUUCAUGAGGUCCGGCAGAGCAACACUGCCCCCAUGAGAGCAAAAAGGAGAAUUGACUGGGGAAGGACUGGGGCGCCACCUGCUGAGCAGAGCUGGAACAAGAUUUCAAGCCUCUCCAGCACAUCUAGAGCCAGAGUGGCCCUCUGGUGCCGCAGCAGCAGGCGGGUGUGCUCCGCGGUGAAGGAGAACUGGGGCAGGCCAGGGAGGGAGUCCAGGGCCUGCUGCGAGCCCAGGGCCCCGGCUCGGGCCCGAGUCGACAGCGUAUGGAUUUGGUGGACUGCGAUUCCUGGGGCCUGGGUCUGCUUAAAGGUCACGGCAAGGGAGCCGAUGUGUCUGUGGAGCAGCUUCGCCCACUGGACCGGCUCAGCCCACAGGUUCAGAUCCCCCUUCUCGAACAGGAAGUCCUCUUCGUUCUGGUCGAUGGGCAAAAUGGGAGUCUGGUUACUGGCAUGUUGAUACUGGAAGCCUCGUCUGGAACCGCGUCAUCGUAGGCUUCUUCAUCUCCCAGCAGCCACUCGGUCAGAGCGAGGACACCCGUCGGUACCUGCCCCCACAGCUCAAAGAGCCGACACAGGAGCUCCACGCCCGAGUCCAGGGCCACCGGAGGACACACGGACACACCGGAGACAUCUGAGGACAGGAGAGGCCACGCGGUUAAACACAGUCUGCGAACCGGGUUGAAGACAUUCAAGACCCACAGAAAUAGUUUACAGUCACACAGCAAAGAGCUCGGUGGUGUUUUUUGCCCCCAACUGCUCUUUCCAGGCAGCGCUGUGACUGCUGCCUUCAAGGCACC